CAGUUCUUGAUGUAAGCAGUGUGCUAAUCCCAGAUGCCGAUGUGUUUGACUUUCAUGAAGUGUGCCGGCUCCAGUUGUUGGGCUGGGCAUCUUUGCAGUUUCAGUGGUGCUGUGGGCUGCCUCUGUUUUUCUCUGUAUUUCAAUCAUUCCUUUGAGUUCUUAGCAUGCAACAUUCUACGCCUCAAGUAGUGUUGGCUAUUUAUCAACAUGCACACAUUCAAUUGCUAGACAGGUUUACUGACCUAAACUACAAUGGAUUCUAUGUAAAAAAUAAUAUUAGCCAGCAGUUUUGAUGUUGGGUUUAUGUUUUUGCUCAAAUGUUCAGUACUUUGCCCAAGUGCUGAGGGCAAUACUACAUGGGGAGCUUUUAUUCAAAGUUCUCACAUUGUUCUUGAUCAAAACACAGUCCUUUUUCUUAUAAAGGGUUUGAAAACUAAAUCAUUUCAGACACUGAUCUCUGUGUGGAUCUAAAUAAACUGAAAGGAAAUUAGCAAUAACAUAUUCAUUACUUUAAUGAUUACCAUGCAAAUAUAGAUUAUUUUAUAAAUACAGAGUCCACAUCUUUCAUGUGUGAAAAGAUGAUGAAUCUCUGAGCAUUGCAGAGGCUGCUUCCUCAUAGGGGAAGAGCCACGCAUUUCUGUGCCCUGCCAGUCCAUGCCCAGGGUGUUGCUCAUUGUCUUCGGUGCAAACGGUUCCUAGUUAGAGAUUGUUAAUUUCCACUCCAUGGCUAAUAUGCAACCCUGUAGGCCAUUUCAUAAUUCCUAAAAAUACAGUUUCCGGGAGUUCAGAAUUCAUCCAACAUACCUUACUAAUAAGAAAUCCUUCAUUCAAGAAUUGAAUGUCUUGGACACAAAUGGGCCUCAGUAAAUAAUUAGUGUACGUAUGAAUCCCUGGAGUCCCAGCCAUUUAUGUUCCUUAUCAUUGGUGAACCUUUAUAUUGCCCAGCAACAAUGAACCUUUAAGAUCUGUUAUUUAAAGAAGAAGAGGUACAGAUUUUCAGCAAUCCACACAUAAGGAUCUUCCGUGGUCAAUGCCAACCCCUUCCUCCACUGUCUGUUUGCAUAGCACAACAAUGCUUGCAGAUGGAAAGGGGCCCUGACCCACCAAGGAGCCCUCCAAACAGAGGGUUGACCUGUGUGAAAUGGUCAAUGCAAUUGACAAAAGGUGGGAAAAAGAUGAGAGGGGUCAAAGAUAUGAACCUUUCUAUUCCAUUGGCCCAAUCUGGUAUCCCAUGGAAGUGAAAGAUUUUCAGCACAAGAUUUAGCUUCUACCAAGAUCACCAGACGCAAACUUACUCAUUCGUAAAAAUGAUUCAUUCAUUCACUCAAAAAACACACACUGAGUCCUUGGGUGCCAGGUGCUCCUCCAGCGGCUGCAGACCUAGCCUGAAGCAGGGCACUGCCCCUGGUUUAAGCACCUCCUUUGCCUGUUAUUCUGUUUUCCCUCCACUGUCAAAGAAUCUGGGGGGACUUCCUCGGCGUCCUGGACUAAGGCUUCUUAUGUUUACAUUUCAGCUCGGUGUCACCUACAGCAGAGUUAGUGCCACACCUCAUACAUAGCACCCUCAGUAAACUCAAGCCAUAAUUUCUGCAUCGACAGGUUGGGGUGCCCAUCCUGAGGUCACCGAGGUGCACCGUCACUGACAUCGCAGCACCAGGGACCCUGCAGGGUCCUUCAGCCCCCUGCUCCAUCUGCCUGGUGUGGUCAGCACCUGGAUCACAAACUCUGACCUCCUCAUGGUGUGUUAUAUGCUGUAUUCUCAAGCCAUGGGGGACACUCUGCAUUCACUGUAGGUGCACUGAUGGCUCAUUCUUUUGGGUGAAAACAAAUGUGUAAACAGCCCAAGAAGCCCUGGGAUGGAGUGGAUUGAAGACCCCUCGCAGAUGUAAAAUGUGUGGUUGCAGAGCAAGGCAGAGUGUUGCAGCCUUCACAAGACUCUACUCUGCCUUUGUAGCCUGAAAUUAGUCACGGACAGUCCAUGAAUGAAUGGGAGUCUCCAAAGAACUUGACCUCCAAAGGCAGAUGCUGGCCGGCUUUAGCUUGUGGGAACCUCACUGACCCCUGUGCUGGAAGAAUGUGAUAAUUUCCUGCCCAAGAGGAGCUUAUGGUGUUGCGGGGAGGAGGGGUUGGGAGAAUGAGUCCCAGGGGACCUUACAGGGGCCGGGAGAGGUCAGCCCACGGGAGUCACCAGCAUGUGCAGGUACAGAGAACCAACAGGAG
rnacentral:lncRNA from 10 species